UACAGAGGUCUCAAGCGUUGUUCGGAUUCAUUGGGCGUAAGGGUGUGUAGGUGGCGCGCUAAGUCGGGUGUGAAAUUUCGGAGCUAACUCCGAAACUGCAUUCGAUAACUGCCGUGCUUGAGGACCUGGAGAGGAGUACUGGAAUUUGACGGUGGUAGCGGUGAAAUGCGUAGAGUAUCGAUGAAGGAAGACCAGUGGCGAAGGCGGGAUCGUACGUUGG
rnacentral:rRNA from 1 species